rnacentral:rRNA from 1 species
UGGGGAAUAUUGCACAAUGGGCGCAAGCCUGAUGCAGCGACGCCGCGUGAGGGAUGACGGCCUUCGGGUUGUAAACCUCUUUCGCCCCUGACGAAGCGCAAGUGACGGUAGGGGGAGAAGAAGCACCGGCCAACUACGUGCCAGCAGCCGCGGUAAGACGUAGGGUGCAAGCGUUGUCCGGAUUUAUUGGGCGUAAAGAGCUCGUAGGCGGCUCGUUGCGUCAGCUGUGAAAACCCGUGGCUUAACCACGGGCUUGCAGCUGAUACGGGCGAGCUGGAGUUCGGUAGGGGAGACUGGAAUUCCUGGUGUAGCGGUGAAAUGCGCAGAUAUCAGGAGGAACACCGGUGGCGAAGGCGGGUCUCUGGGCCGAUACUGACGCUGAGGAGCGAAAGCGUGGGGAGCGAACA